rnacentral:rRNA from 1 species
UACGGGGGGGGGCUAGCGUUGUUCGGAAUUACUGGGCGUAAAGGGCGCGUAGGCGGUCUGCUAAGUUGGAUGUGAAACUCUGGGCUUAACCCAGAGCCUGCAUUCAAUACUGACAGGCUAGAGUUCUGGAGGGGAUAGCGGAAUUCCUGGUGUAGCGGUGAAAUGCGUAGAUAUCAGGAGGAACACCGGUGGCGAAGGCGGCUAUCUGGACAGAGCCUGACGCUGAGGCGCGAAAGCUAGGGGGAGCAAACAGG